UACAGAGGUCCCAAGCGUUGUUCGGAUUCACUGGGCGUAAAGCGCACGUAGGCGGAUCUUUUAAGUCAGGGGUGAAAUCCCAAGGCUCAACCUUGGAACUGCCUUUGAUACUGGGGAUCUCGAGUCCGGAAGAGGUUGGUGGAACUGCGAGUGUAGAGGUGAAAUUCGUAGAUAUUCGCAAGAACACCAGUGGCGAAGGCGGCCAACUGGUCCGGUACUGACGCUGAGGUGCGAAAGCGUGGGGAGCAAACAGG
rnacentral:rRNA from 1 species